GCCUGGGUUGCUCAGUCGGUUAAGCGUCUGACUUCAGCUCAGGUCACGAUCUCACGGUCCGUGAGUUCGAGCCCCGCUUCAGGCU
rnacentral:tRNA from 1 species